rnacentral:rRNA from 1 species
GGUUAAGCGACUAAGCGUACACGGUGGAUGCCCUGGCAGUCAGAGGCGAUGAAGGACGUGCUAAUCUGCGAAAAGCGCCGGCGAGGUGAUAUGAACCUUUGACCCGGCGAUGUCCGAAUGGGGAAACCCAGUGUGAUUCGUCACACUAUCGUUAACUGAAUACAUAGGUUAACGAGGCGAACCGGGGGAACUGAAACAUCUAAGUACCCCGAGGAAAAGAAAUCAACCGAGAUUCCCCCAGUAGCGGCGAGCGAACGGGGAGCAGCCCAGAGUCUGAAUCAGCUUGUGUGUUAGUGGAAGCGUCUGGAAAGUCGCACGGUACAGGGUGACAGUCCCGUACACGAAAGCACACAGGUUGUGAACUCGAAGAGUAGGGCGGGACACGUGGUAUCCUGUCUGAAUAUGGGGGGACCAUCCUCCAAGGCUAAAUACUCCUGACUGACCGAUAGUGAACCAGUACCGUGAGGGAAAGGCGAAAAGAACCCCGGCGAGGGGAGUGAAAAAGAACCUGAAACCGUGUACGUACAAGCAGUGGGAGCCUCUUUUAUGGGGUGACUGCGUACCUUUUGUAUAAUGGGUCAGCGACUUAUAUUCUGUAGCAAGGUUAACCGUAUAGGGGAGCCGAAGGGAAACCGAGUCUUAACUGGGCGUUAAGUUGCAGGGUAUAGACCCGAAACCCGGUGAUCUAGCCAUGGGCAGGUUGAAGGUUGGGUAACACUAACUGGAGGACCGAACCGACUAAUGUUGAAAAAUUAGCGGAUGACUUGUGGCUGGGGGUGAAAGGCCAAUCAAACCGGGAGAUAGCUGGUUCUCCCCGAAAGCUAUUUAGGUAGCGCCUCGUGAACUCAUCUUCGGGGGUAGAGCACUGUUUCGGCUAGGGGGCCAUCCCGGCUUACCAACCCGAUGCAAACUACGAAUACCGAAGAAUGUUAUCACGGGAGACACACGGCGGGUGCUAACGUCCGUCGUGAAGAGGGAAACAACCCAGACCGCCAGCUAAGGUCCCAAAGUCAUGGUUAAGUGGGAAACGAUGUGGGAAGGCACAGACAGCCAGGAUGUUGGCUUAGAAGCAGCCAUCAUUUAAAGAAAGCGUAAUAGCUCACUGGUCGAGUCGGCCUGCGCGGAAGAUGUAACGGGGCUAAACCAUGCACCGAAGCUGCGGCAGCGACGCUUAUGCGUUGUUGGGUAGGGGAGCGUUCUGUAAGCCGUUGAAGGUGUCCUGUGAGGGGUGCUGGAGGUAUCAGAAGUGCGAAUGCUGACAUAAGUAACGAUAAAGCGGGUGAAAAGCCCGCUCGCCGGAAGACCAAGGGUUCCUGUCCAACGUUAAUCGGGGCAGGGUGAGUCGACCCCUAAGGCGAGGCCGAAAGGCGUAGUCGAUGGGAAACAGGUUAAUAUUCCUGUACUUGGUGUUACUGCGAAGGGGGGACGGAGAAGGCUAUGUUAGCCGGGCGACGGUUGUCCCGGUUUAAGCAUGUAGGCGGAGGUUCCAGGUAAAUCCGGUUCCUUAUUAACGCUGAGGUGUGAUGACGAGGCACUACGGUGCUGAAGUAACAAAUGCCCUGCUUCCAGGAAAAGCCUCUAAGCAUCAGGUAACAUCAAAUCGUACCCCAAACCGACACAGGUGGUCAGGUAGAGAAUACCAAGGCGCUUGAGAGAACUCGGGUGAAGGAACUAGGCAAAAUGGUGCCGUAACUUCGGGAGAAGGCACGCUGAUAUGUAGGUGAAGCCCCUGCGGGUGGAGCUGAAAUCAGUCGAAGAUACCAGCUGGCUGCAACUGUUUAUUAAAAACACAGCACUGUGCAAACACGAAAGUGGACGUAUACGGUGUGACGCCUGCCCGGUGCCGGAAGGUUAAUUGAUGGGGUUAGCGGCAACGCGAAGCUCUUGAUCGAAGCCCCGGUAAACGGCGGCCGUAACUAUAACGGUCCUAAGGUAGCGAAAUUCCUUGUCGGGUAAGUUCCGACCUGCACGAAUGGCGUAAUGAUGGCCAGGCUGUCUCCACCCGAGACUCAGUGAAAUUGAACUCGCUGUGAAGAUGCAGUGUACCCGCGGCAAGACGGAAAGACCCCGUGAACCUUUACUAUAGCUUGACACUGAACACUGGUCCUUGAUGUGUAGGAUAGGUGGGAGGCUUUGAAGCGUGGACGCCAGUCUGCGUGGAGCCAACCUUGAAAUACCACCCUUUAAUGGCUGGUGUUCUAACGUAGACCCGUAAUCCGGGUUGCGGACAGUGUCUGGUGGGUAGUUUGACUGGGGCGGUCUCCUCCCAAAGAGUAACGGAGGAGCACGAAGGUUAGCUAAUCCUGGUCGGACAUCAGGAGGUUAGUGCAAUGGCAUAAGCUAGCUUGACUGCGAGAGUGACGGCUCGAGCAGGUGCGAAAGCAGGUCAUAGUGAUCCGGUGGUUCUGAAUGGAAGGGCCAUCGCUCAACGGAUAAAAGGUACUCCGGGGAUAACAGGCUGAUACCGCCCAAGAGUUCAUAUCGACGGCGGUGUUUGGCACCUCGAUGUCGGCUCAUCACAUCCUGGGGCUGAAGUAGGUCCCAAGGGUAUGGCUGUUCGCCAUUUAAAGUGGUACGCGAGCUGGGUUUAGAACGUCGUGAGACAGUUCGGUCCCUAUCUGCCGUGGGCGCUGGAGAAUUGAGGGGGGCUGCUCCUAGUACGAGAGGACCGGAGUGGACGCAUCACUGGUGUUCGGGUUGUCAUGCCAAUGGCACUGCCCGGUAGCUAAAUGCGGAAGAGAUAAGUGCUGAAAGCAUCUAAGCACGAAACUUGCCCCGAGAUGAGUUCUCCCUGAGACUUUAAGUCUCCUGAAGGAACGUUGAAGACUACGACGUUGAUAGGUCGGGUGUGUAAGCGCAGCGAUGCGUUGAGCUAACCGAUACUAAUGAACCGUGAGGCUUAACCUU